rnacentral:rRNA from 1 species
GCUCUCGCUGUCUCCGACCCCGACCGCUCGCCCUCUCGUCGGCCAGUCGCUCGCCGACCAGUCGCCACCCUCUCCCUCUCGUCGGUGUCUUCCUCACCGCAGUCUUGCACCUCACCACCCAUAACCCUAGCAGCCCGCCUCCCUCUCGUCGGUGAAAGGUGACAUUUUUACCAGUUGGGGUGCUCGAUUCGUGGUGGCGGUGCUCGAUCCGUGGGCGGCGGUACUCGAUCCGUGCUGGAGCAGCGGGAGGAGGAGGCCAAGGUGGAGAUCGUGGUGCGGGAGGGGGAGCUCGGCGAGACGGCGGCUGGAUCUGAAGCGCGGAUGCUCCACCUUCCUCAGGGUGGCGGGGAUCUCCGACUCGCUGCAGAGGAGAAGGGCCCGACCGCUGGCGUCAUCCGCCGCUUCCUCAGGGUUGGCGGCGGCGGGCUGCGUUCCGGCGGGAGGGCCGCACGUUCAAGGUGCUGCAGGUGGCGGACAUGCACUACGCGGACGGGCGGAGCACCGCGUGCGAGGACGUGAUGCCCGAGCAGGUCGCCGGCUGCUCCGACCUCAACAUCACCGCCUUCCUCUACCGCGUCAUCCGCGCCGAGGACCCCGACCUCGUCAUCUUCACGGUUCACUACUCGAGGCGCUGGGCUGCGGCUUCAUCGAGGCGGACGACAACCACUCCCGUGCAAAUAAAGGCGAGCAUUCAGGAAAAGAACUCUUUGUGCAAUGAGCAUCCUUUUCUGCUGGAAUAUCAACUUUUUUGGAUGCUCAACCAUCAAUAAACAUAUUGGCUGAACUUCAGGAAAAGGAUGCACCGAAUCUUAGUAAGCGGAUACUCAUAGCCGAAUUCUUUUGGAUGCACAUAUAGUUUGUCUAGCAACUUAAAUAAUGACAGUAAAUAAACUCUCAAUAGCACUGUCCAGUAAUUGAAAAUAAAUUACACCUUUUCAGUUAAUUUAAAUUAACUGAAACUUUUUGUACUCCCAUGAUCAGUGUUACUGUACAGUAAUUCAC